GAUUGGUCCAGGCAGUCACAUUAUAAUAAAAAUAGGAAGUACAGUUUGCAGUGAAAAUAGAACGAAACAGAACCUCAAUGUUAAUUUGGUAGAACAUCAGCCGUGUCUGCCCCUUUGGGACCCCCCUGGACAUCCCUCAGCCAGGGGCCUCAUCGGCAUCAGCAAUGCCCUCUCCUGCAAGGAUCCAGAAACACCAAGCCUAGAAAACGGCUGCAGCAUGGUGGGGCUGUGGUGAAUGUAGCUCUAUCGGAGAUGGUACGCUCCAUGCAGUAUGGAAACUGCACAGUGUCUACAGUGAAUUGCAAGGGGUCCUUCCCAAUGUGACAGUCACUCUCUCGCUGCGACCCAAUGGCUCACCACUGCUGGAUGUCCUGGUCCAUCCUUGUGUGUCUUCACUGGAUGCCUCUGGCCCCUACAAGUUCCUCUUCUCCCAUUGAGUCUUUCAGGUCCCCGUGCCACCCAUCCUCCCUGUCAGCUGAAGGAGUAUGACAACCAGCUGCAUUUGACUGUGAGGAACAGCUCUGAGUACUGUGAGGCACAUCUGCCGGUCUUUAACAGGCCAGAAGUUCCCCAAGUCCAGUGAGGUGUCACUAGACAGCACUGAGUUUCUUAGGGCAGUUCCCAGGACCUACAGAUCCUCUCUGCACAGACCUUACAGUUUACAUCAAACAACUGGACAACAGGAUUCUGGUGACCAGGUUUGAAUCUGUGAAACAGACAACAUCCAACGUUAUGAACCCAAUGGUCAAAGUACUGUAACUGAAUGGUUUGUUUCUGCUGUUGUUCUUACAGUCUCGGUCUCUUCUAAGAUGCAAAAUGCUGUUUCUCAUCUGUUCUGAACACAGACCAAUCCCUUUUUUUGUGAAAGAAUGUGCCUUAUUAAAUAGAGAUAAUGGUUAUUUAACUGAAUUUUAGUAAAGAGUAGUACUACUGGAUACAGAUAUUGAAAUGUAAAAAAUGGUAUUGAUGCUGCCAUUUUUGGAACUUGUUUGGCCAUCCCACUCCACAUCUCUUUAGAGUGUUGCCACCCUUAGCUCUGACAGUCCUACUUCAGUCCCACCCCUCCAUCAGCCGGAUAAUUAGCAGCUGGGGCCUUGUUGUCAGCUGGAGCUGAGGGCCUGUGGGAGACGGGGCUUGGGCUGUGAAAGGGUAAGCUGAUCUGGGCAGAGUCUGUGCCACAAAGGGCCCCUCUGGAGAACUGGCAGGACUCACUGGUUCCUCCCUGUGACUGCCCUGCCUGUCAGCCAGUGGUCUCUUCAAAUACCCAGCCUCUCCACUGAACCGCCCUCUAAAAAGUAGAGGCCCCAGCUGGCCAGAUGACUGGCUAAUUGGAGAAACUGGGUGUGGUGGCAUUAAAUAUUACAUGACAAAAAUAGGUUUAGCGUAGGGGUCCGGAUUCAGGUCUUAAUUUCAAUUUGAUUAGAGUAGAGCUCAUCCAUGCAUGACCAUGAUAAAAAAAACUGUAAAUUAAAAGAAAAUGCAUCGGCAUGUCUACAAAAUGUAACAAAAAAGUGAACGAAGCUGUUUCCCAAGACAUACUAUAUGUAGACCCGGUUUUUAGUAAGGAAGGUACACUGAACAAAAAUAUAAACGCAAAUGAAUUUGGCCCUAAUCUAUGGAUUUCACAUGACUGGGCCUGGGAGGGCCACCUGGGAGGGUCCACCCCCUGGGGAGCCAGGCCCAGCCUAUAAGAAUAAGUUUUAUCCCACAAAAGGGCUUUGUUACAGAAAGAAAUGCUCAUCAGUUUCAUCAGAUGUCCGGGUGGCUAGUCUCAGAUGAUCACGCAGGUCAAGAAGCCGGAUGUGGAGGUCCUGGGUUGUCAUGGUUACACGUGGUCUGCGCUUGUGAGGCCAGUUGGACGUACUGCCAAAUUCUCUAAAACGAUGUUGGAGGUGGCGUAUGGGA